rnacentral:tRNA from 1 species
GCACCCUGCUUACACCAGAUUUAUGUUUGUUUAACCCAAACUGUUUUGAG